CGUCCAGCAACGGUGUGAUUCCCUGUCUACCCACUGAUAUCAAGGCGGCAGCACCGGGGCUAAGAUAAAAGUCAUGCGGCUUGAAAAGAAGUGGGGAUUCAAGCCUUUGGUACCUUCCAUUAUCAUGGGAAACAUGAAUUUUCUAUGAAGCAAGAUUGACGAGUUGGCAAGAACAUUAAGACCUACAAGGAGUGCAGCUUAUUUGUGCUUCACUGAAUGGCUAACAGCUAGCAUCCUUGAGGCUAACUCGAGGAGCUAGCCGACUUCAGUACAGUCAAAGCGGCCAGGGACACAAGCGCCUGUGGAAAGCGCAAAGGAGUCCGUUGGGCAUGGUCUGCUGAUUCUGGUUGAGGUACAUGAAGUGUUGGUUGUAACCUGUCCAUGUAUGAACUCUCAUUGUGGGAAACACAGAGAACAGGAAGCAUCUGGAGUCGCCUGCACGCAAGUACACACAAUAGACAUGAAAUACAAAUGAGGCCGAGAGACUGACCAACAUAUUCAAAUAAAUACAGUAUUGACAUUUCCUUACUAUGUCACAUCUAGACGUCUUUUUUUUAACUUCCAAAAGUGAUCCAGUAUUUUACCGAGGUGUGUUCACCUUCUAUAACCACUGGACAUACCAACUUUGGCUUUCUUCAUACCAGUCAUGCCAUGCAGAAUCUUUCUCACCCUGGAACUGAGGUCUGACUUCCCAGCUGAGGGAGGCAAAUCCCCCAAAAACGUGUCCCCUUGUGUCUUUGAUGAGCAGCAAAGUGGGCCCGCACUGCGUCAGGCCUGCCACCAUCCUUGUGAAGCUCUCGCCGUGCAGCAGCGUGGAAAACACCAGCCUCCAAGGCGCCCUGUGUCCGUCAGGCAGCUGGAAAGAUCAAAACAUCUGCAUGGUGUUCCGGAGGGUGGCAGACAGGAAGUGACAUCGGGGGUUCAGAGUCGAGUUUCAGCUUGGCGUGGGUUACAGCCGCAACAGUCACCCGUGUUAGGGAUUAUUGUGCCUGUUGUGACAUCAUUUCAACCUGCAAUAAAAGCCUUUUGUUUUGGUACUUGUGUGUCUAACCCAAUAAUACAGUAACAUUACUGACACCUACUGACCAAUUAGAUUACUACAUAUCAUCACAAAGUCUUUGAAUGUGUCUUCUAAAGUCCUUAUACUGUAUUUGUAUUUUACAUUUUUAUGCUUAAUUUAGGCAUAAUAUAUGUGACAUUUGCAUAAAUAUCCUUUUUUUUGCCAUAUUCAACCAUGAAACAACAUCCAUCCAUCCAUUUUCUGUACCGCUUGCCCUCACUAGAGUUGUGCGUAUGCUGGAGCCUAUCCCAGCUGUCGUCCGGCGAGAGGCAGGGUACACCCUGGACUGGUCACCAGCCAAUCACAGCCACGAAACAGUUAUGAAUUCAAAUAUUUUUGAAAAACCAUGAUAAGAGCGAAGCCACAAAAUUGGAAGCACAAGGUGGCAAGGGGUUACUGUAGCAAUAUACAGCAGCACAAACACUUGUUUACCUGCGGGUUUGAGUUCUGAACACAUGUUCUCUGCCAAAAGUUGGACACCCAGAGAUGCAUCACCCAUAUUUUCAGGUUUCCACCCCUGAAGGCAUCCUUUAUUGACCAGGAUCUGAACUACAGCAGAGAUGAGGUCCUGUAAGAACUAUCAGAGCAAAGACACUUGGCAACAAUGGUGGUUUUGACCAGGACAGGUGAUGGCUAUUGACCCCUUCCUCACCUGCAUUACUUGCUGACAGGUGACACUCGUGGAGCAUUCUGUGGCGCCCUGCGACAUAGCCAUGACAAGGGGAGCUCGUUCUUCAGCAGUGCCUUGCAGGGUGUCUGCUAAGAAGACGACCAAUUGCUCUCGACUCACUCCAGAAGCCGCAGAGGUGCUGACUUUGCCAGAUGCGGUCUGUCCCAGGUUAAUACUGCUCAUGCACUGGUAUAAUCUCUUUACCAUGGACUUUGGUGCCACCUUGCACAUGGAGGACUGAGGGGGGAUAAAAUGAAUCAUGAAUGUUGAAAAACGAGUUGAUAUGCCCAUAAAAAGUUUCACAAUAAAAGUGACUUAGAUUAGAUUCAGCUCCACAACCCCCACUUUCUCUCUUCAGUUGCCAUGAUUCACUCGCGACACAAUCCAGGUUUAAACCCUA